GAUGAACGCUGGCGGCGUGCCUAAUACAUGCAAGUCGAGCGAACAGACGAGGAGCUUGCUCCUCUGACGUUAGCGGCGGACGGGUGAGUAACACGUGGAUAACCUACCUAUAAGACUGGGAUAACUUCGGGAAACCGGAUCUAAUACCGGAUAAUAUAUUGAACCGCAUGGUUCAAUAGUGAAAGACGGUUUUGCUGUCACUUAUAGAUGGAUCCGCGCCGCAUUAGCUAGUUGGUAAGGUAACGGCUUACCAAGGCAACGAUGCGUAGCCGACCUGAGAGGGUGAUAGGCCACACUGGAACUGAGACACGGUCCAGACUCCUACGGGAGGCAGCAGUAGGGAAUCUUCCGCAAUGGGCGAAAGCCUGACGGAGCAACGCCGCGUGAGUGAUGAAGGUCUUCGGAUCGUAAAACUCUGUUAUUAGGGAAGAACAAAUGUGUAAGUAACUAUGCACGUCUUGACGGUACCUAAUCAGAAAGCAACGGCUAACUACGUG
rnacentral:rRNA from 1 species